CCUAAACGAGGGACUUGAUGAAUUCUGGUUGAAUGACUGAAGAAAUAAUGAACACUUCUGUUUCCUCAGUUAGAAAAAGUGAGAAAAGUGUCAGCAUUUUAAGGAUUGUCAUAUAUUCCUGAAAUGUCAUAGAAUAAGAGGGAAGAUUAUGAAGAAGCAACUUAGCACUUAUCUUGCUGUCUCUUCCAAAGUAAUGCUCUCACAUUAAAAAGAGGUUCCUCAUGAGAUUGACAGUAGCACCCUUAGUCACCAGGCCCCUGCUCGCAGAUCUAGCUACGAAGGACAAUGGAGUUAUAUGGCGUGUGAGCACUUACUGAUUACACACUGAAAGCAAGCGGUGCCAGCAGCUCGCGAACUGUUGGUCAGCAGGUCUCUCAGCUGCCUGUUCACGCUGGAGAUGUCCGAGUUCUCAUGUCACUGCACUUUCAUCCCAUGGAGCACUGGGAACGACAUUUUGUGGAUUUCCUAUGAGAAAUAAAGCCAGGUAGCUGAGCAAUAAAAGACAAAGGAGGAGAAGAGAACCACGAGCUUGAGCUGCCAUUUUGUAAGAACACUCAAGUAGCCCCAUGGAGAGGUCCCUGUGUCAAAGAACUGAGUUCUUCCAAUAAGCAUAAAGGGAGUGAGAAUUCCUGCCAGCAUCUGUGUGAGUGUGCAAUCUUGGAAGCAGAUCCUCCAGCUCCAGUCAAACCUUCAGAUGACUGCAGCACUGGCAGACAUUUUGACUACAAUUUCUUUAGAGAGCCUGAGCCAGAGCCACCCAGAUAAGCUGCUCCCAAA